rnacentral:tRNA from 1 species
UAAGGGUUAGUUUAAUUAAAAAUUUUGGUUUGUGGGACCGAGGAUAACAGCGAGUUACUCUUAA